UACAUAAAUAUUUUUUAUCUACACAAUAAGGAAUGUUUCCUCUAGAAUUUUAAACAAUCUAGUAAGAUUUUUUAGAAAUUCUAAAGUUUUUGACAGACUCAUGUAUGUACAAUCAUCUAUUAAAUAACGAAAAAUAUUUUAAUAAAUUCUAGAUGUUCUGAGUGGGUUAAGAACUGCAACAGGCAUGAUUUUAGAGCAAAAUCACCUAUAGAUUUGCAUAGAGGGUAUAGAGUUUGUGGAAAACACUUUCAACCUACCAUGUUUGCGGGAAUGUCUCAAAGCCGUCUAAAGAAAUUUGCUGUUCCAACUUUAUUGAUGUCAGACAAUUCCAUGAUGGAAGUUGAAGCUACUAUUCCUGCUGUUCCUAUUACAUCUGAAGCGGUUUCAGAAUCUACUUCACCAGAUGUAAUUGCUAUUCCAUCAACAUCCAAGGAAGUUACAUCUGAAGGUGAGUAAAAUACUAUUACCUUUUAAACACAAUGCUGAAUAUAAAUCUGAACUGCCAUACCGA